CUUCAUGACUCUCAAAUUUGUAUUUGCAGCUCUGCUCCAUCCCUGAAGGAAACCAAUGGAGGAAAGGGUCCAAUCAUCUAAGUUCUGCAGAGUUAGCCUGGAACUUUCACCCACAUGGAGGUAAAUGACUUGGAUACUUCUGCGUGACUGUUGACUCAUCAUGAAUUGCCUGGAUCAAAGGAACGAGGAGGAAUAGUACUUACAUCUUGUUCUGACUCAACUGCCGAUAGUGAUGAUUCUUUCAAGGAACCUAAAUUUCUAUCUUACCUUCUUAUCAAAAACAAUGAGGGAACCAUCAUCACUGUUUUAAAAAGCAUAUUAGAAACAGACACAUGUAUAUAGUUGAUAGAGUUGGCAGUGGUACUGCAUUGCAUCAAGAUGGGAUGAAGAAAAUGCUAAGUGACCCAUCACUUAGCAUCUAAGCCACGUGCCACAUUUGGAAAGCUUUAUUUUUGUUCCUGGAACUUUGGCCUUAGGAUGGUCCACCCAAACUAGUGGGGUUUCCAUAGGGCUCCUAGCAGGUUACCCUGGCCUGCCGACAUUGUACCACAGUACUGACUCUCAGUGUUAUGCAUCUCCUGCUUGGAGAUUCUUUCAUAAUUCUCUUUACCUUUGCAGAGUCAUAUUCCAACUCUUACAUCAUUUCAUAAAACCAAACACUUAACACACAAGAAAAGCUGUCUUUAUUUUUUGUCACUUAGCAUAUUUGCUGAGGAUCAGCAUUAUAUUUACUGUUAGAGUUUUUAAUGUUCUUUAAAGUACUGGAUUUACACAAAGCUAAUCGGCAUCCCAGUCCAGGCACCGGAUUUUGAAUGAAGUUGCCAUAAUCUGUUUCCUACCAGGCCCUCACAGAAGCAUCUGUCCUGAGGAAAAUCACAAUAGUGACUUAAUAUAUUUUAAUGGCAUCUUUCCCACUGAAUUCAAAGUGAGGUAUUCAUUUUGUCAUCUCAACUGUGGAACUUGAGUACUUUAUUUUAAAAAAGAAAUGUAUGCAGGGCCUUUAAUAGAGCAGUUAUUUCUCACUGCCUAACAAUGCAAUCUUGUAACACAUUAAUAAAUUUAGUAGACAGCCCAAAUGAACUUCC